AUUGAACGCUGGCGGCAGGCUUAACACAUGCAAGUCGAGCGGGGUGAUGGUGCUUGCACUAUCACUUAGCGGCGGACGGGUGAGUAAUGCUUAGGAAUCUGCCUAUUAGUGGGGGACAACAUCUCGAAAGGGAUGCUAAUACCGCAUACGUCCUACGGGAGAAAGCAGGGGAUCACUUGUGACCUUGCGCUAAUAGAUGAGCCUAAGUCGGAUUAGCUAGUUGGUGGGGUAAAGGCCUACCAAGGCGACGAUCUGUAGCGUGUCUGAGAGGAUGAGCCGCCACACUGGGACUGGGACACGGCCCAGACUCCUACGGGAGGCAGCAGUGGGGAAUAUUGGACAAUGGGGGGAACCCUGAUCCAGCCAUGCCGCGUGUGUGAAGAAGGCCUUAUGGUUGUAAAGCACUUUAAGCGAGGAGGAGGCUCUUUUGGUUAAUACCCAGAAUGAGUGGACGUUACUCGCAGAAUAAGCACCGGCUAACUCUGUGCCAGCAGCCGCAGUAA
rnacentral:rRNA from 1 species